rnacentral:misc_RNA from 1 species
GAUGAAGAACGCAGCAAAAUGCGAUACUUGGUGUGAAUUGCAGAAUCCCGUGAACCAUCGAGUUUUUGAACGCAAGUUGUGCCCGAAGCCUUUUGGCCGAGGGCACGUCUGCCUGGGCGUCACGCAUCGCGUCGCCCCCCACAAUUCUCCGUAAAGGGAACGUGUGUUUUGGGGGCGGAUAUUGGUCUCCCGUGCUCAUGGCGUGGUUGGCCGAAAUAGGAGUCCUUUCGAUGGACGCACGAACUAGUGGUGGUCGUAAAAACCCUCGUCUUUUGUUUCGUGCUGUUGCUCGCAAGGUAAACUCUUUAAAAACCCCAAUGUGUCGUCUCUUGACGACGCUUCGACCGCGACCCCAGGUCAGGCGGGACUACCCGCUGAGUUUAAGCAUAUCAAUAAGCGGAGGA